AUGAUAACAAACCUAUUCUCAGUAUUUGACCCUACUUCAAGAGUGUUAAUAUUACCUCUUAACUGGCUAUCCACAUUUCUCGGAAUUUUAUUUUUACCUAUACUUUAUUGAGCUAUACCGUCACGGUGAUCUCUGCUAUGAACUAUAGUCUCAACUACUCUCCACAAAGAAUUUAAAACUCUAUUAGGAACUUCCCACCUAGGUACUACACUUAUAUUUGUUAGACUAUUUAGAUUAAUUGUCUUCAAUAAUUUUCUAGGUCUCCUACCUUACGUUUUCACGAGAUCUAGUCAUCUUACCAUAACUCUUGCUCUGGCCCUACCCCUCUGAUUAGCCUUUAUGAUUUUCGGAUGAGUAAACCACACCCAACAUAUAUUCGCCCAUCUUGUUCCCCAAGGAACUCCGGGCCCGCUUAUACCAUUUAUGGUCUUAAUCGAAACCAUUAGAAACAUUAUUCGACCUGGAACUUUAGCUGUUCGAUUGGCAGCUAAUAUAAUUGCAGGACAUUUAUUAUUAACCCUCCUCGGGAGAACAGGACCUUCAUUAUCUAUAACUCUUGUAUCUAUCUUAAUCAUUGGUCAAAUCUUAUUACUUAUCUUAGAAGCUGCUGUAGCAGUUAUUCAAUCUUAUGUUUUUGCAGUAUUGAGUACCUUAUAUGCUAGUGAAGUUACAUAA
rnacentral:misc_RNA from 1 species